UCCAGAGGGGGCAAGCGUUGUUCGGAAUUACUGGGCGUAAAGGGCGCGUAGGCGGCCUGCUAAGUCGAACGUGAAAUCCCUGGGCUUAACCCAGGAACUGCGUCCGAUACUGGCAGGCUUGAAUCCGGGAGAGGGAUGCGGAAUUCCAGGUGUAGCGGUGAAAUGCGUAGAUAUCUGGAGGAACACCGGUGGCGAAGGCGGCAUCCUGGACCGGCAUUGACGCUGAGGCGCGAAAGCCAGGGGAGCAAACGGG
rnacentral:rRNA from 1 species